rnacentral:tRNA from 1 species
AGUGGUGUAGCUCAGCGGGUAGAGUGCUUGCCUAUCAAGCAUGAGGUCCUGGGUUUGAUCUUCAGUACCACAU